rnacentral:rRNA from 1 species
GAAUUCGCCCUUAGAGUUUGAUCCUGGCUCAGGAUGAACGCUGGCGGCGUGCAUAACACAUUCAAGUCGAACGGAGCUUAAGACUUCGGUUUUAAGCUUAGUGGCGGACGGGUGAGUAACGCGUGAGCAAUCUGCCUUUCGGUGGGGAAUAACAGGGAGAAAUCGCUGCUAAUACCUCAUAACGUAGCGGUGUCGCAUGGCACAGCUACCAAAGAUUUAUCGCCGAAAGAUGAGCUCGCGUCCGAUUAGGUAGUUGGUGAGAUAAAAGCCCACCAAGCCGACGAUCGGUAGCCGAACUGAGAGGUUGAACGGCCACAUUGGAACUGAGAUACGGUCCAGACUCCUACGGGAGGCAGCAGUGGGGAAUAUUGGGCAAUGGGCGCAAGCCUGACCCAGCGACGCCGUGUGAGGGAAGAAGGUCUUCGGAUUGUAAACCUUUGUCAACAGGGACGAAACAAAUGACGGUACCUGUGGAGGAAGCCACGGCUAACUACGUGCCAGCAGCCGCGGUAAUACGUAGGUGGCGAGCGUUAUCCGGAUUUACUGGGUGUAAAGGGUGUGUAGGCGGGAUAGCAAGUCAGGGGUGAAAACUAUGGGCUUAACCCAUAGACUGCAGUUGAAACUGUAGUUCUUGAGUGAAGUAGAGGUAGGCGGAAUUCCGAGUGUAGCGGUGAAAUGCGUAGAUAUUCGGAGGAACACCAGUGGCGAAGGCGGCCUACUGGGCUUUAACUGACGCUGAGGCUCGAAAGUGUGGGGAGCAAACAGGAUUAGAUACCCUGGUAGUCCACACUGUAAACGAUGAUUGCUAGGUGUGGGGGGUCUGACCCCUUCCGUGCCGGAGUUAACGCAAUAAGCAAUCCACCUGGGGAGUACGGCCGCAAGGUUGAAACUCAAAGGAAUUGACGGGGGCCCGCACAAGCAGUGGAUUAUGUGGUUUAAUUCGAAGCAACGCGAAGAACCUUACCAGGUCUUGACAUCCCGCUGACCGGCCUAGAGAUAGGCUUUUCCCUUCGGGGACAGCGGUGACAGGUGGUGCAUGGUUGUCGUCAGCUCGUGUCGUGAGAUGUUGGGUUAAGUCCCGCAACGAGCGCAACCCUUGAUCUUAGUUGCCAGCAUUUAGUUGGGCACUCUAAGGUGACUGCCGGUGAUAAACCGGAGGAAGGUGGGGAUGACGUCAAAUCAUCAUGCCCCUUAUGACCUGGGCUACACACGUGCUACAAUGGACGGUACAGAGGGUCGCAACCCCGCGAGGGUGAGCAAAUCCCAUAAAACCGUUCUCAGUUCGGAUUGUAGGCUGCAACUCGCCUACAUGAAGCCGGAAUCGCUAGUAAUCGUGGAUCAGCAUGCCACGGUGAAUACGUUCCCGGGCCUUGUACACACCGCCCGUCA